rnacentral:lncRNA from 1 species
AGCAAAAGAUAAUUUCUAACCUUUUUCUUAAGACUGUAAACUGACCUGCAUUCCUGAAUCAUAUUAGCGAUUUCUCGAUUAUUAUUUAGAAAAUGAGGUACUAGGUAGGCGAGUGUCUGAGUACCAUAAUUGGUUCUAAACAUAGGUGUUCUAAGUCGGUUAUGCCUAAGGUGAUAUUGUGAUAAGACGUGAACA